UACGAAGGGGCUAGCGUUGUUCGGAAUUACUGGGCGUAAAGCGCACGUAGGCGGAUAUUUAAGUCAGGGGUGAAAUCCCGGAGCUCAACUCCGGAACUGCCUUUGAUACUGGAUAUCUAGAGACCGAGAGAGGUAAGUGGAACUCCUAGUGUAGAGGUGGAAUUCGUAGAUAUUAGGAAGAACACCAGUGGCGAAGGCGGCUUACUGGCUCGGAACUGACGCUGAGGUGCGAAAGCGUGGGGAGCAAACAGGAUUAGAUACCCGUGUAGUCCCUGAG
rnacentral:rRNA from 1 species